UGAGCAAUCUGCCCUUCUCAUCGGAAUAAGCGUUGGAAACGACGUCUAAUGCCGAAUACGACCUCCUUUCGCAUGAUUGGAGGUGGAAAGCUCCGGCGGAGAAGGAUGAGCUCGCGGCCUAUCAGCUAGUUGGUGUGGGUAAUGGCCCACCAAGGCGACGACGGGUAGCCGGCCUGAGAGGGUGACCGGCCACACUGGGACUGAGACACGGCCCAGACUCCUACGGGAGCAG
rnacentral:rRNA from 1 species